CACAGGAGUAGCGCUUAUUCAAGAGCUGCCAGGAUGUUGGACUGUCUGCCAACAAUGAAUGGAGCUACUGUAAACACCCACAUGCAGACUUUUGAGCGAAUAUAGCUUCCAACUCCUUUGGGAACAAGGAGGAAGAAUGAGAAGAGGAGGAACAGGAGAAGGAACAAGAGCAGGAGGAAGAGAUGCAGGCAGCAACAUCACCUGCUAGGGCAUGUCGACAAGAACCCAACUUCCAUCCAAAGAAAUUGCACUUUUUAUAAGUUCCAUCCCCUCCCAGUGGCGCCACCUACUGGCAAGCAAAGCAUACAGACCUUUUGGAGAUGUUCCAGAAACAAACUGAAACUAUUCCCACAUGAACCCCUCUAUCCCCUGACUUUCUUCCCUCGGUUUCUGUUUCCUCCUCUGCCCGAGGCUGUCAACAAUGGUCUGCAAUUCUGCCUAACCCACUUUUCCUGUGAUCUUGCCAGGUAAGAAACUCAAGAACCCUCUUCAAUAAUAACAUCACUGGAGCCAGCAAGGCCCUUCUGCCCAGGAGGCCUAGACAUCCUGGCAGAGGGUGUGUUGACUGCAUUCACGCUGUCUGGCUUCAGCUGACAGUGCCCAGAUGUUCAGUUUCCAGACCUCUCCAAGGUCGUCUUCAUCUUCUUCUGAAGGUGCAGGGAUGCAGCCUUCCUGUGACCUCAGGGUGAUACCAGUCACUCUAGAAAAGAAAGAUCAAAGAAAUAGAUGAAAUCCUACCUUGUAUAUAAA
rnacentral:lncRNA from 1 species